GCUGGAAUCGCUAGUAAUCGCAAAUCAGAAUGUUGCGGUGAAUACGUUCCCGGGUCUUGUACACACCGCCCGUCACACCAUGGGAGUCGGAUAUGCCCGAAGCCAGUGACCUAACCGUAAGGAAGGAGCUGUCGAAGGUGGAGCCGAUAACUGGGGUGAAGUCGUAACAAGGUAUC
rnacentral:rRNA from 1 species